UUGAACGCUGGCGGUAGGCUUACACAUGCAAGUCGUGCGAGAAAGUACCUUCGGGUGCGAGUAGAGCGGCGGACGGGUGAGUAACGCGUAGGAAUCUACCUAGUAGAAGGGGAUAGCCCGGGGAAACUCGGAUUAAUACCGUAUACCUCCUUAGGGAGAAAGAGGGCUUAGCUUUGAUGCUCUCGCUAUUAGAUGAGCCUGCGUAAGAUUAGCUUGUUGGUGAGGUAAUGGCUCACCAAGGCGACGAUCUUUAGCUGGUCUGAGAGGACGAUCAGCCACAUUGGGACUGAGACACGGCCCAGACUCCUACGGGAGGCAGCAGUGGGGAAUAUUGGACAAUGGGCGCAAGCCUGAUCCAGCCAUACCGCGUGUGUGAAGAAGGCUUUCGGGUUGUAAAGCACUUUAAGUAAGGAGGAAAAGAUUGUAGUUAAUACCUGCAAUCCGUGACGUUACUUACAGAAUA
rnacentral:rRNA from 1 species